UACCUUUGUCUAUUUUAGUCACUCCAGGA
rnacentral:piRNA from 1 species